AAUGUCAUCAGCGAUGGAUGCCCCUCA
rnacentral:sRNA from 1 species